rnacentral:misc_RNA from 1 species
UUUCCGUAGGUGAACCUGCGGAAGGAUCAUUAUCGUACAAAAUGUGAGGGGCAUGCGAGGGCUGUCGCUGCCCCAAAAGUCGUGCACGCCCGAGUGUGUCCUCUUGCAUAAUAAUCCAUCUCACCCUUUGUGCAUCACCGCGUGGGCACCCUUCGGGAUCAUCUCGGAGGGGGGCUCGCGUUUUCACACAAACCCCCCUUUUAAAAGUGUAGAAUGACCACAUUUAUGCAAUCAAUACAACUUUCAACAACGGAUCUCUUGGCUCUC